rnacentral:rRNA from 1 species
UACGUAGGGUCCGAGCGUUGUCCGGAAUUACUGGGCGUAAAGAGCUCGUAGGUGGUUUGUCGCGUUGUUCGUGAAAACUCACAGCUUAACUGUGGGCGUGCGGGCGAUACGGGCAGACUAGAGUACUGCAGGGGAGACUGGAAUUCCUGGUGUAGCGGUGGAAUGCGCAGAUAUCAGGAGGAACACCGAUGGCGAAGGCAGGUCUCUGGGCCAUAACUGACGCUGAGGAGCGAAAGCGUGGGUAGCGAACAGG